rnacentral:rRNA from 1 species
CGCGGCCUAUCAGCUUGUUGGUGGGGUGAUGGCCUACCAAGGCGACGACGGGUAGCCGGCCUGAGAGGGUGUCCGGCCACACUGGGACUGAGAUACGGCCCAGACUCCUACGGGAGGCAGCAGUGGGGAAUAUUGCACAAUGGGCGCAAGCCUGAUGCAGCGACGCCGCGUGGGGGAUGACGGCCUUCGGGUUGUAAACCUCUUUCACCAUCGGCGAAGCCGGGAGCUUUUGUUUCUGGUGACGGUAGGUGGAGAAGAAGCACCGGCCAACUACGUGCCAGCAGCCGCGGUAAUACGUAGGGUGCGAGCGUUGUCCGGAAUUACUGGGCGUAAAGAGCUCGUAGGUGGUUUGUCGCGUUGUCCGUGAAAUUCCCUGGCUUAACUGGGGGCGUGCGGGCGAUACGGGCAGACUGGAGUACUGCAGGGGAGACUGGAAUUCCUGGUGUAGCGGUGGAAUGCGCAGAUAUCAGGAGGAACACCGGUGGCGAAGGCGGGUCUCUGGGCAGUAACUGACGCUGAGGAGCGAAAGCGUGGGGAGCGAACAGGAUUAGAUACCCUGGUAGUCCACGCCGUAAACGGUGGGUACUAGGUGUGGGUUUCCUUCCUUGGGAUCCGUGCCGUAGCUAACGCAUUAA